rfam:Cavia porcellus supercont2_157 genomic scaffold, whole genome shotgun sequence.
UGGUGCCCAGCGUGGGGCACCUGGCACGGAGGAUCCAAUGAGGGAGCCAUCCACGGAUGCAUGUGUAAAAAGGAAAUUAAGGAUUUUGUGACCAAUGCUACGUGGGAGUCUGCCAUGCCGCUUGAGUCAUGGUAAGGAUGGUGAUCCUUUCUCCUUUUUUCUGGCAUGGGUCAAGCAUUAAGUGAUCACAAACUUUUCAUGGGAGGCCUAAGUAAGGCAUUAAAGACAAGAGGGAUUAAGGCUAAAGAAAAAGAUUUACUAUGAUAUGUUCAAUUUAUUCAUAAGGUUUGCCCUU